GGGUGAGGCCGAAGUAACCGCAUAUUGCCAGUCGUCCCCUGUGAAUCGGUGACCACAUAUGAAGAUGCACCUCGACUCGUUGACGGCUUAGCCACUGCAUCAAAGUCUUCCCUGGACAGCCUGGUACAGGAAAUCUUCCAAGGCAUCGGGAACAGCUGGGUGAGGCCGAAGUAACCGCAUAUUGCCAGUCGUCCCCUGUGAAUCGGUGACCACAUAUGAAGAUGCACCUCGACUCGUUGACGGCUUAGCCACUGCAUCAAAGUCUUCCCUGGACAGCCUGGUACAGGAAAUCUUCCAAGGCAUCGGGAACAGCUGGGUGAGGCCGAAGUAACCGCAUAUUGCCAGUCGUCCCCUGUGAAUCGGUGACCACAUAUGAAGAUGCACCUCGACUCGUUGACGGCUUAGCCACUGCAUCAAAGUCUUCCCUGGACAGCCUGGUACAGGAAAUCUUCCAAGGCAUCGGGAACAGCUGGGUGAGGCCGAAGUAACCGCAUAUUGCCAGUCGUCCCCUGUGAAUCGGUGACCACAUAUGAAGAUGCACCUCGACUCGUUGACGGCUUAGCCACUGCAUCAAAGUCUUCCCUGGACAGCCUGGUACAGGUAGGUGA